rnacentral:rRNA from 1 species
UACGGGGGGGGCAAGCGUUGUUCGGAAUUACUGGGCGUAAAGGGCUCGUAGGUGGCCAACUAAGUCAGACGUGAAAUCCCUCAGCUUAACUGGGGAACUGCGUCUGAUACUGGAUGGCUUGAGUUUGGGAGAGGGAUGCGGAAUUCCAGGUGUAGCGGUGAAAUGCGUAGAUAUCAGGAGGAACACCAAUGGCGAAGGCAGCUCGCUGGAACGGUACUGACGCUGAGGCGCGAAAGCGUGGGGAGCAAACAGG